rnacentral:rRNA from 1 species
AGAGUUUGAUCAUGGCUCAGGAUGAACGCUAGCUACAGGCUUAACACAUGCAAGUCGAGGGGAAACGAUAUUGGAAGCUUGCUUCCGAUAGGCGUCGACCGGCGCACGGGUGAGUAACACGUAUCCAACCUGCCGUCUACUCUUGGCCAGCCUUCUGAAAGGAAGAUUAAUCCAGGAUGGGAUCAUGAGUUCACAUGUCCGCAUGAUUAAAGGUAUUUUCCGGUAGACGAUGGGGAUGCGUUCCAUUAGAUAGUAGGCGGGGUAACGGCCCACCUAGUCAACGAUGGAUAGGGGUUCUGAGAGGAAGGUCCCCCACAUUGGAACUGAGACACGGUCCAAACUCCUACGGGAGGCAGCA